CCCGUAGCUAAUCUUUGCUGUCAGUUUGAUUGGGUAAUUCUGUGAAGGUGUUUCCAGAGAUGCUUAGUCCAUGAGACCCACAGGCUAGGGUCCUGGGCUGAAUACAAAUGAGGAAGUGAGUUGAGAGUUACUGUUCAACUCCCUCUGUUUCCUGUUGAGCACGAAUGUGUGAUUAGCUUCCUGCACUUCUGCUGACAUUCCCCUUCAAGAAGGGUUGAACCUCCUUGAAAUGUGAUGAUUUCCACUAGCAACUCUGACAGCAUGCUGAUGGAGAAGGUAACAGUGUGGAAAGCAAAGGAUGGGCGUUACCAGCUACCGGCUGGAGUUGUUGGUCACAUCCCACAAGAAUUCCAUCUCACACAUGCUCUACAGUUCUUACUGAUGUCCAUGUUGCAGAGAGUCACCACUCUGGAGCCUUCCUGCAGGUCAGACAGGAGAGAUGGAGAGCUGCACACUCGUCUCGCCCCUUUGGAUGAUAUCUUGAUGCAGCUGCUCCUCCCAAGAUGUGCUUUGCUGCACCAAAAACCAUCGCUAGCCAACUUCCAGUUAAGAUUGCAUCUCCAGAAAGUCCCCAGUGUGUGAGGGUGGGAAGCAUAGGGAGCGGGGACUUAAUGGGGAAAGGGUCCUUUAUGUCUUUCUUUGCUUUUGCUUUAAAAAAAAUAAAGUUGCUUUAGGGAAAAUUAUGACAGUAUAAAUAAUGGGGUAUUGUGUAUUGCCAAAUAAAAGAAGGAGGGGGGGAAAAGAAUAUUUCCUAGAUCAUGAGUUCUGACCAGCCUGCAGAUGGGCUACGGCCCAAAGGUGCCAAGACCACGUUCCCUAUUUAAUAACUCUGCCCAUCCAAAUAGUAAACUGAAAGAUGUAGUCUGUCUAAUUUUCCUUUACUGCUCCCCAAGAGGCCCUGGGGUUCAUACUUAAAACUAGGACCUGUCCCUGGACAAAACCUAAUGUGUUGGGCUGGAGUGUCAUCCUGGGCCAGCUGCUAGCCUUCCGGCACCCCGAUGACGUGACCAGAAGCAAUAUAUCAGGAAGUAGUGUAUCUCGCUCUCCCCAUAGGCUCUAUGUCUGCCUCCUACCAUAGAGGAAGCUUUAAGAAUCAGGAACUUAUGGUGCAUCUUCGCACUCCAUCUGACUAGCACAGUGGCUGGCACUUAGAGAUGCUUAGCAAGUGCUGUCCUAUAAAUGAAUGGAAGGGACUUGGAUUGCUUUUGCUGUAACUAGUCUCAUGGAUCCUAGUUUCCCAAGGCUUUCACCCAAACUGCACCAUGAAAUAUAGCCUAGAUUUUCCAGACACACAUUAACUGCCAUCUGGGAUUUAGAUACCUUUAAAAUAUUGAGAGCUUUCAGAUUUGGGGAACAAUUUCAGAGACUCACCUGCACUGCCCUUGAGGUAGGAGCAGAACCGCCACAUCCCCCUCACCCCAGCGAUACAUUUCUGCAGAAGCCACUGGUCCGCCAUGUUCCAUCUCAUCAUCUUGGCUGCCAGGAAAAGUACACAAGAGAGAGGGUGUAAAUUCUUCCCUUGCCCUUCUCUUAGCCUUGCACACAACCAGAGCCCCAUUCAUUCAAGGUCAGUCAGUCAGGUGAAUGGGUGGUGGGGAGGACUGACUGUGAUGGUUUUCAAACUAGUCACUGGACCAUCUGGUGAUAUGUCAGGGGCAUAUGCAAGAGCUACAUACAUGCAUAUAAUCUGCAGCUCAAAAAUACCCCCUCCCUACUAUAGUCCCCACCUGACAAUGACAUUGUCCUUAAUAUCCAUUUGAAUCUCUUUCCUAUUUCUAUCCCCACCCCCCUCUUUCUCUCUCUCCCUCUCUCCCUCUCUGUGUAAAAUGUAAUUGAUGUGGUAUCUGUGGUACCUGCGUAUAUAGCAGGGUGCUGGGUACAGUAUUUGGCGCCACAGAUGCCCCUGAAUGUAGCUUUCUUUGGCUAGUGAGUCAAAAGUUUCCAAUUCAACCCUAAAUAAAAAUUUUGUUCUUUCAUUCAACAAAUAUUGAUCACAUGACUACUAAAUGCCAAACCCUAUUCCAGAUGGUUGGGAUAUCAAACAAAAAUUCCUG